rnacentral:rRNA from 1 species
UACGUAGGGUGCAAGCGUUGUCCGGAAUUACUGGGCGUAAAGGGCGCGUAGGCGCCUUCUAAGUCGGACGUGAAAUCCCUCGGCUCAACCGAGGAACUGCGUCUGAUACUGGAAGGCUUGAAUCCGGGAGAGGGAUGUGGAAUUCCAGGUGUAGCGGUGAAAUGCGUAGAUAUUCGCAAGAACACCAGUGGCGAAGGCGGCUCACUGGCCCGAUACUGACGCUGAGGCACGAAAGCGUGGGGAGCAA